UACAGAGGGGGCAAGCGUUGUUCGGAAUUACUGGGCGUAAAGGGCGCGUAGGCGGCCUGCUAAGUCGAACGUGAAAUCCCCGGGCUCAACCCGGGAACUGCGUCCGAUACUGGCAGGCUUGAAUCCGGGAGAGGGAUGCGGAAUUCCAGGUGUAGCGGUGAAAUGCGUAGAUAUCUGGAGGAACACCGGUGGCGAAGGCGGCAUCCUGGACCGGUAUUGACGCUGAGGCGCGAAAGCCAGGGGAGCGAAUGGG
rnacentral:rRNA from 1 species